AGAGUUUGAUCCUGGCUCAGGACGAACGCUGGCGGCGUGCCUAACACAUGCAAGUCGAACGGAAGUAAAGAUUUCGGUUUUUACUUUAGUGGCGAACGGGUGAGUAACGCGUGAGGAACCUGCCUUUCAGUGGGGGACAACAGUUGGAAACGACUGCUAAUACCGCAUAAUACUACCGGAUGGCAUCAUCUGGUAGUCAAAGCUUUAUGUGCUGAAAGAUGGCCUCGCGUCUGAUUAGAUAGUUGGUGGGGUAACGGCCUACCAAGUCGACUGCAUCAGUAGCCGGACUGAGAGGUUGAACGGCCACAUUGGGACUGAGAUACGCGCCCAGUACUCCUACGGGAGGCAGCAGUGGGGAAUAUUGCGGCAAUGGGGGAAACCCUGACCCAGCAACGCCGCGUGAAGGAAGAACGCCUUCGGGUUGUAAACUUCUUUUAGCGAGAGGACGAACAACGUGACUGGUACCUGCAGAAAAAGCAACGGCUAACUACGUGCCCAGCACGCCGCGGUAAUACGGAGGUCUGCAAGCGUUGUCCGGAUUUGCUGGGUUUAAAGGGUGCGUAGGCGGUUUUAUAAGUUAGAGGUGAAAUUUCGGUGCUCAACACCGACACUGCCUCUAAUACUAUAGGACUAGAGAGUAGUUGCGGUAGGCGGAAUGUGUAGUGUAGCGGUGAAAUGCUUAGAGAUUACACAGAACACCGAUUGAGAAAGCAGCUUACCAAGCUAUAUCUGACGUUGAGGCACGAAAGCGUGGGGAGCAAACAGGAUUAGAUACCAUGGUAGUCCACGCAGUAAACGAUGAUAGCUCGUUGUCAGCGAUACAAUGUUGGUGACUAAGAGAAAUCGAUAAGUUAUCCACCUGGGGAGUACGUUCGCAAGAAUGAAACUCAAAGGAAUUGACGGGGGCCCGCACAAGCAGUGGAUUAUGUGGUUUAAUUCGACGCAACGCGAAGAACCUUACCAGGACUUGACAUCCAACCAACGAAGUAGAGAUACAUUAGGUGCCCUUCGGGGAAAGUUGAGACAGGUGGUGCAUGGUUGUCGUCAGCUCGUGUCGUGAGAUGUUGGGUUAAGUCCCGCAACGAGCGCAACCCCUAUUGUUAGUUGCUACGCAAGAGCACUCUAGCGAGACUGCCGUUGACAAAACGGGGGAAGGCGGGGACGACGUCAAAUCAUCAUGCCCCUUAUGUCCUGGGCUACACACGUAAUACAAUGGCCGUCAACAAAGGGAAGCAAAGCCGCGAGGUGGAGCAAACCCCCAAAAACGGUCUCAGUUCGGAUUGCAGGCUGCAACUCGCCUGCAUGAAGCUGGAAUUGCUAGUAAUCGUGGAUCAGCAUGCCACGGUGAAUACGUUCCCGGGCCUUGCACACACCGCCCGUCA
rnacentral:rRNA from 1 species